AAACCGUUACCAUUACUUGUAU
rnacentral:miRNA from 1 species